rnacentral:rRNA from 1 species
GGGUUGUGAGGUUAAGCGACUAAGCGUACACGGUGGAUGCCCUGGCAGUCAGAGGCGAUGAAGGACGUGCUAAUCUGCGAUAAGCGUCGGUAAGGUGAUAUGAACCGUUAUAACCGGCGAUUUCCGAAUGGGGAAACCCAGUGUGAUUCGUCACACUAUCAUUAACUGAAUCCAUAGGUUAAUGAGGCGAACCGGGGGAACUGAAACAUCUAAGUACC